GGCGUUGUGGCGGAGUGGUUAACGCGGUUGACUCGAAUGGUCUUUCCUCUCGGAAAGGGGUUCUGAAAUCAACUUCCUUCGGGAGCGCAUGUUCGAAUCAUGUCAACGUCG
rnacentral:tRNA from 2 species